GCGGGUAUAGUACAUCGGUAGUACGACGCCUUGCCAAGGCGUAGAGACGGGUUCGAUUCCCGUUACCCGCUCCA
rnacentral:tRNA from 1 species